rnacentral:rRNA from 1 species
CAGCAGCCACGGUAACACGGAGGGUGCAAGCGUUAAUCGGAAUUACUGGGCGUAAAGCGCACGCAGGCGGUCUGACAAGUCAGAUGUGAAAUCCCCGGGCUUAACCUGGGAACUGCAUUUGAAACUGUCAGGCUGGAGUCUUGUAGAGGGGGGUAGAAUUCCAGGUGUAGCGGUGAAAUGCGUAGAGAUCUGGAGGAAUACCGGUGGCGAAGGCGGCCCCCUGGACAAAGACUGACGCUCAGGUGCGAAAGCGUGGGGAGCAAACAGGAUUAGAUACCCGAGUAGUCCCUGUCUCUUAUAC